UGAUUGUCCAUUCGCAUUUCUUGCCGUCCGUUUCAAGCCUGUCUCGAUCCACCGAGUACACAAAUGGCUUAAAACGCGUACAAUAAGUGCAAGAGAUGUUUAUGGGCAUC
rnacentral:pre_miRNA from 1 species